rnacentral:misc_RNA from 1 species
CCAAACUUGGUCAUUUAGAGGAAGUAAAAGUCGUAACAAGGUCUCCGUUGGUGAACCAGCGGAGGGAUCAUUACCGAGUUUACAAGCUCCCAAACCCCGUGCGAACCUACCCCGUACACGUUGCUUCGGCGGUGCCGCCCCGGGCGCCCGCCGGGGGACCCCCAAACUCUGUCUGCUCACCGCAGCGGUCUCCUCUGAGCCGCGCCCCCGGGCGCGGGAACAACACAACGAAUCAAAACUUUCAACAACGGAUCUCUUGGCUCUGGCAUCGAUGAAGAACGCAGC